CUUGGUGAAGCAUUAAACCCUAAAACAGUUUAACAUUAUCAAAACAUGGCAAGAAGCAGAAACUUGGAGGAUUUUAGUCAUGUCUGAUUGUCAUUUGUAACACCACAGUCAUUGCUUUUGGCCAGGCUGGCAACACCUUGGAAGAUGCCGAGGCAAUUUCUGGCAGAGGAGUGCUGCUGAGGAUCAGCCUGUCUGCUGGGUUCAAUUUCAAUAGGCUUUUCCCUGAUGUGGAUGCCACUGGAAAUCUUGCCUACCACCAUGUUCCAGCUACCAUCUGGAACAUCACCAGGGCUCAGAGCGCUGUCACCAGUUGUUGUCCAGCUGUGGGAAACGUGGGAAGGAGUGAGAGAAUGCAGCAUGAGGUCCUGUCUGGGGAUAUAAUGGCUGGAGCACUUGCUGCUGCCCCUGGCACUUCCUUGGCAUCUACCUGGGGAGCUGAGAGAAGAGGAUUGAUUCAGCUAUGGCCACAUCUCUUUAGAGAGGGAAAACCAGGCUGGGAAAUGGGGAUUGAAAGGAGAGCAGGGCUGGCAGAGGGAGCUGCCUGUGGAGCCGAGAAGCUUGAGCCACCACUCCCAGCAGCUCAUGUGGGCAUCGCUUCCAGUGCCCAACCUUGCCAGCCUUGAAGUCCCUUUUUGUCCCUGCUCUGCAAUUAGUGCUCAGCAUUGGUGCUGCUUUGGGUCCUGCUCUCCCAUCACAACAGCUGCUAUUGUGAAGGGACACGACGAAGAAAGAGGCUUGGGUUUGUUGAUCAGUGAGAAAAUGCCACCAAAAAACAACCAAAGAUUUUUCCAACUCAGAGACAAUGAUAAAUUUUAUUACCAGGUUCUUUUCUGAAUAGAGACAGGGAAGUGUUGGUACAUUUAUACUGGCAUUCUUCAGUGAAUUAUUUUUAUAGGUUUGGUUACCUGUGGUCCAGAAGGAUUAACUAAUUACAUGGUUACAGUGAGAAGAAUGUCAUAUCUUCCUUUGCAAGAACCAUGAAAAGAGGAUGGCUUCUGAAACUGGAGACAUUAAUGAUGUCUCCUUAUAAAUACGUUUUUGGGAACAGGGAGAGAGGGAAAAAUCACAGAGGGAAAAGGAACAUUUGAGUUAAGUGACACUACUGGCUCCAACCCAACUGGCUAGAAAUUGGUCAUGAGGGAGUUCAGGCUUGGAAUUAAUAAAAUCAUUCAAAGAUUAAAGUUCUGGAGCA
rnacentral:lncRNA from 1 species